UACGUAGGGUGCGAGCGUUAAUCGGAAUUACUGGGCGUAAAGCGUGCGUAGGCGGUUCGUUAAGUCAGCUGUGAAAGCCCCGGGCUCAACCUGGGAAUGGCAGUGGAUACUGGCAAGCUAGAGUGCGGUAGAGGGUAGUGGAAUUCCCGGUGUAGCGGUGAAAUGCGUAGAGAUCGGGAGGAACACCAGUGGCGAAGGCGGCUACCUGGACCAGCACUGACACUCAGGCACGAAAGCGUGGGGAGCAAACAGG
rnacentral:rRNA from 1 species